rnacentral:rRNA from 1 species
UACGAAGGGGGCUAGCGUUGUUCGGAUUUACUGGGCGUAAAGCGCACGUAGGCGGAUUGGUCAGUUAGGGGUGAAAUCCUGGAGCUCAACUCCAGAACUGCCUUUAAUACUGCCAGUCUCGAGUCCGGAAGAGGUAAGUGGAACUCCUAGUGUAGAGGUGGAAUUCGUAGAUAUUAGGAAGAACACCAGUGGCGAAGGCGGCUAUCUGGACGGUUUCUGACGCUAAGACGCGAAAGCGUGGGGAGCAAACAGG